AUGGGGAGGACCAAUUCAUUAUUUUGGGCUGAUUCCAGCUCUGCUGAACCUGCAUCUGCUGCUGGAGAGACCCCAGAGCACACUUCCCAACCUCCUCCUCAGAGCUCUCAGGCUGCACGGCUCUGCCUAUGUCCUUGUUCCCCUCAUUGCCAAGUUUCAGGGGUAACUGUCAGCCCCACAUAUCACCAGCUGCCAGUGUCUAUCACAGAGAACUGGAAAGACAGAGUGAUCCAGGUUGUUGGAACCAGCAGGAUGCUAGGAAAUGAUGUUGCUAUACCGUGUAGACAGAUGAUUACACAUGAGCACCCUGGACAACCCAGGAAUGUCCUGGAAGCACCUGCUUCACACCCAGCCCUGGUAGACAAAUCACACAUUUGGGCAGCUAAUUUCUCUGUUAUUUUCUCUGCCAAGCACAGAAAUGAACAGCCCAAAAAGGGCAGGAAGAAACAGAGCCAAGAGUUUAUAUGCUCCUGAUUUAAAACAUAAGAAUAAGAGAAAUAUUCCCACCAUGCAAAUAACAAAUAGACCAACCCUUACUCCCCAGCCAAAUAUUGAUAUUUCCUUUAAAUUUUUGACGAAAAUAUCUGUGCUUGGGGGUAGGGAGAGACUUGUGGUUAUUUGGCCCAAAGCUGUUCUAGGUCAUAGGCAGCCAUUAAAAUUAUGAUUUUCAAACAAAAGUUACAGAUUUAGAUUGACUUUUGAGCCCAAAGUUAUUUUGACAUUUCAUAAAAUAAAUCAUCAGAUAAGCACAUCACAUUAUGUUGACAACAGUGCCCAAAAUAGUUUCACUAUUUUUAGUAUUUAUAUCAUUUUAUUUUUAUUGAUUUAUAAUUAUAUAAUUUAUAAUUAAAUAAUAUCUAUAUUUGGGAUUUUAAACAGCCAGUAUAAAUAGACAAGAAUGGAACAGUUACAGUCAUGUAUAUGGCAGGCAAUAUGUAAGGCAUCAGUUUUCCUGGAAUGUGUGAUUUCUCUCCUGAAUGGUGAUUAAAUUCAUCUCCCAAGAAGCUUUUGGUUUGAAUCCAGGUAGACCAAGCAAAACAAAAGACAAUACAGCAUCGGACCCACAGUUUUAAACUUGUCAGCUAAACAAUUCAGAUGGUCUCUUUCUUCAGUCAUGGCCACUGUGCGCUCAAUCAGCUCAGCCUGUAAUUGAUUCCUGUCCUGAAUCAAAUGCCAAGGACCCCGUUCUUAAUACUCCUGCCCUGACUUCCCCCAAAGGUGUGGCAAUGGUAGUCUGAAGUGGGAAAGCUGUGUCUGGAGCCUGCCUGCACCUCUUGUAAAAAACUGAACUGAGAAACGCCAGCUUGCAAUUCAAUGCACAAAAAUUGACAUCCAUUUCAGAAGCAAUGCUCAGUCAACUAACUUGGCAUUUGAGGGGGUGGAGAGUUGCCUUUUCCAAAAAGAACAAGGCUACAUGGGACAGGAUCCUGCCUGUAGAGGUAAUAAAGAAAAGGAGGCUGGGUGUCGUGACUCACACCUGUAAUCCCAGCACUUUGCGGGCCCAGGGCCAGAGGAUCACCUUGAGCUCAGGAGUUUGAGACCACCCUGGGCAACAUACUGGGAUCCUGUCUCUACUAAAAAUUACUUUUUAAAAAAUAGCCAGACAUGGUGGUGUGCACCUGUAGCCCCAGCUAUUCAGGAGGAUGAGGUGGGAGGACUGCUUGAACCCAUGAGGUAAAAGCUACAGUGAGUUAUGUUUGCAGCACUGCACUACAG
rnacentral:lncRNA from 1 species